AUUGAACGCUGGCGGCAGGCCUAACACAUGCAAGUCGAACGAGUGGCGGACGGGUGAGUAAUGUCUGGGAAACUGCCUGAUGGAGGGGGAUAACUACUGGAAACGGUAGCUAAUACCGCAUACCAUCGGAUGUGCCCAGAUGGGAUUAGCUAGUAGGUGGGGUAAAGGCUCACCUAGGCGACGAUCCCUAGCUGGUCUGAGAGGAUGACCAUCCAGACUGGGACUGAGACACGGUAAAGACGCCAAGGGGAGGCAGCAGUGGGGAAUAGGGCACAAUGGGCGCAAGCCUGAUGCAGCCAUGCAGCGUGGAUGAAGAAGGCCUUCGGGGUGGAAAGAACUUGCAGCGGGGAGGCGGUACCCGCAGAAGAAGCACCGGCGCAGUCCGUGCCAGCAGCCGCGGUAAUUC
rnacentral:rRNA from 1 species